rnacentral:rRNA from 1 species
AUUGAACGCUGGCGGCAUGCUUUACACAUGCAAGUCGGACGGCAGCACAGAGAAGCUUGCUUCUUGGGUGGCGAGUGGCGAACGGGUGAGUAAUAUAUCGGAACGUACCGAGUAAUGGGGGAUAACUAAUCGAAAGAUUAGCUAAUACCGCAUAUUCUCUGAGGAGGAAAGCAGGGGACCUUCGGGCCUUGCGUUAUUCGAGCGGCCGAUAUCUGAUUAGCUAGUUGGUGGGGUAAAGGCCUACCAAGGCGACGAUCAGUAGCGGGUCUGAGAGGAUGAUCCGCCACACUGGGACUGAGACACGGCCCAGACUCCUACGGGAGGCAGCAGUGGGGAAUUUUGGACAAUGGGCGCAAGCCUGAUCCAGCCAUGCCGCGUGUCUGAAGAAGGCCUUCGGGCUGUAAAGGACUUUUGUCAGGGAAGAAAAGGCUGUUGCUAAUACCGACAGCUGAUGACGGUACCUGAAGAAUAAGCACCGGCUAACUACGUGCCAGCAGCCGCGGUAAUACGUAGGGUGCGAGCGUUAAUCGGAAUUACUGGGCGUAAAGCGAGCGCAGACGGUUACUUAAGCAGGAUGUGAAAUCCCCGGGCUCAACCUGGGAACUGCGUUCUGAACUGGGUGACUAGAGUGUGUCAGAGGGAGGUAGAAUUCCACGUGUAGCAGUGAAAUGCGUAGAGAUGUGGAGGAAUACCGAUGGCGAAGGCAGCCUCCUGGGAUAACACUGACGUUCAUGCUCGAAAGCGUGGGUAGCAAACAGG